CUACUACAACUUUUAUUUGCUUGAGAGAAAAAAAUUGUUUUGAUAGCAUUGGAACAAAAGGGUACAGCACGUUACAACACAGAUCAUUCAUUUCUUUCCUUUUUUUAUGGAGAUGCAGCGCUGAUUGAUGGAGAGCUUUAUUAUUAUUGAUGGACUUUUUUUUUUAAUUGUCAUUCAACUUUAAGCUAUGAAGCAUGGGGAGGCUGAUUUGAUUUUAGCUAGUGGUGCACAAGUUCAUGGCACAUGAUGGUUUUCUUUUGGAACAGGAGAGGCGUCGGUUCAUUGAGAGAAGUGCGGCAUUCAUUUUUGGAUUUGAAGAAUAGGAGAUGUCACGGCCAGGCUGGAUUGGAGGAAGCAACACGGUGUCACAGCCUACAUGGAGAAAAGAAAGUUGAUUAAGAUUGGAUUUUGUAUAGUUUGAUCAAUAGAGUUCUUUAUGUUUCUUUUUUCUUUCUUUUUUAGCUCAUCAUUACAAGUU
rnacentral:lncRNA from 1 species